UAACCUAGCGGCGGACGGGUGAGUAAUGCUUAGGAAUCUGCCAUUUAGUGGGGGACAACAUUCCGAAAGGAAUGCUAAUACCGCAUACGUCCUACGGGAGAAGCAGGGGAUCUUCGGACCUUGCGCUAAAUGAUGAGCCUAAGUCGGAUUAGCUAGUUGGUGGGGUAAAGGCCUACCAAGGCGACGAUCUGUAGCGGGUCUGAGAGGAUGAUCCGCCACACUGGGACUGAGACACGGCCCAG
rnacentral:rRNA from 1 species